ACAGAUGCCAUUCUGAACUGAGCCACCGUUCUGAUAUGAGAAGAAGCAGUCCCUGAACUACCCAGUCAGCUAAUUAAUGCUGCAUAAUUUAAUAAAGCAUGGAUGUGGAUGAUUUUAAUCUGAAAAUGCUAAGGAGAAAAUUGGUUACUGUCAUCAAUUCAUAGAAAAUAAAACUGGAAGAAAUCACCUAAUCCAAUCUCUGUGGCAGGCUCAUCCCUAUCUAAAACAUCCCUGAUCAUAUUCAUCUACCUGUACUUAAGGAUUUGCAAUGAUGGAGAUUUCACCACCUCUCUAGAAGAGUGGCAGUUGUUCCCUUCUUGAAAUGUAUGAAGAAAUGUGUGCUAUUUCAUCUAAUUUUCUUGAAGAGGACAGGCUAGGAAAAAAGGAAGUAGCUGUGGACUUCAAACACCUGCCAGUGACAGAUUACUUCAGAUCCCCUUUGGAGCUAUUAAUAGCCGCUGCUGUAAUUUCAGUUCUUCCCAAGUGAGGAGGAAAUUUUAAAUGAACUCAUCCGGUGGGUGGUAAGACACUCUAUGGAACAUCUCAUACAUUUUUCAUUAUUAUUUUGUACAAUUAGUUGUAAAGAAAAGCAAUGAAACACAGAGGGUUGCUUUAAAUUCCUUACAUUCCAUCUGACUAAACUUUAAUUUCCUUAUCAGCUUUACUA